rnacentral:rRNA from 1 species
AUUGAACGCUGGCGGCAGGCCUAAUACAUGCAAGUCGAACGGUAACAUAAAAGAAGCUUGCUUCUUUUGAUGACGAGUGGCGGACGGGUGAGUAAUAUUUGGGAAACUACCUGAUAGAGGGGGACAACAGUUGGAAACGACUGCUAAUACCGCAUAAAGCCUGAGGGUGAAAGCAGCAAUGCGCUAUCAGAUGUGCCCAAACGGGAUUAGCUAGUAGGUGAGGUAAAGGCUCACCUAGGCGACGAUCUCUAGCUGGUCUGAGAGGAUGAUCAGCCACAUUGGGACUGAGACACGGCCCAGACUCCUACGGGAGGCAGCAGUAGGGAAUAUUGCACAAUGGAGGAAACUCUGAUGCAGCCAUGCCGCGUGUGUGAAGAAGG